rnacentral:rRNA from 1 species
AACGAACGCUGGCGGCAGGCCUAACACAUGCAAGUCGAGCGCGCACUUCGGGGUGAGCGGCGGCCGGCUGAGUCACGCGUGGGAACGUGCCCUUUUCUACGGACUAGCUUCGGGACACUGAGAGUAAUACCGAAUACGACCUAUGGGGGAAAGAUUUAUCGGAAAAGGUUCUGCACGCGUUGGAUUAGGUAGUUGGUACGGUAAUGGCCUAUCCAGCCGAGCAUCCAUAGCCGGUUAGAGAGGAUGCUCAGCCACACUUGGACUGAGACACGGCCGAGACUCCUACGGGAGGCAGGAGGGGGUAAUCUUAGACAGUGGGGGCAACCCUGAUCGAGCCAUGCCGCGUGAGUGAUGAAGGCCUUAGAGUUGGAAAGCGCUAGCAGCUGGGAACAUAAUGACGGUACCAGCAGAAGAAGCCCCGGCUAACUCCGUG